rnacentral:lncRNA from 1 species
AUGUGGCUGGUUUUACCCUUCCAGGUUGACAGUGGUGAUAAGAGAAAUCUAUUUGGGACUAUACUUCAGGCAAAGAGAAGAACUGAUGUUCAGACUUACAAAAGAGGUAGAACAUAUAUGCUUCCCAUUAUGCGAGAAAGAAACAGGCCUGAGAGUCUAAUGGAUUACUCAAGUCUAUGCUGCCAAGGAAGAACAGAAUCUUUAGGUCGUUUCCAUCAUCUAUACAUGCCAGAGUCCCUCUUCCCUCUGCAAACUCUGUCAUCUUUCUGGGUUACUCCACCAGCCACAUGGCUUUAAUUAUCAUGUCUUUACUAACUAUGGUAAGUUUCUAUUUUAUUUAUUUAUUUAUUUAUUUAUUUAUUAUACUUUGAGUUCUGGAGACAUGUGCAGAACAUGCAGGUUUCUUACAUAGGUAUUCACGUGCCAUGGUGGUUUGCUGCACCCAUCAACCUAUAAUCUACGGUAGGUAUUUCUCCGAAUGCUAUCCCUACCCCAGUCCCCACCCGCUAACAGGCCCAGUGUGUGAUGUUCCCCUUCCUGUGGUCAUGUGCUCUCAUUGUUCAACUUCCACCUAUGAGUGAGAACAUGCAGUGUUUGGUUUUCUGUUCUUGUGAUAGUUUGCUGAGAAUGAUGGUUUCCAACUUCAUCCAUGUCCCUGCAAAGGACAUGAACUCAUCUUUUUUCAUGGCUGCAUAGUAUUCCAUGGUGUAUAUGUGCCACAUUUUCUUUAUCCAGUCUAUCAUUGCUGGGGAUUUUGGUUGGUUCCAAGUCUUUGCUAUUUUGAAUAGUGCAGUAAUAAACAUACGUGUGCAUGUGUCUUCAAGACCAGAGCUUUCUUAACUUCAGAUUCAUACAACCAGCCAUCAGCAGAACAUCACCAAUUAGGGUUCCACCAGUGUCUCGUCCACAUUCUAUUCUGAGUGUUGCCCAUCUGGUGUGGUCAACUUCACAUUGUCUGAAGCAGGACCUAGAAGAUCAACCUCAACUUCUUCCCGCCCUCUGCUCACUCUCCGCAGACAAUCAGUUAUCAACCUGCAGUGACUCCUAAUGUCUCUCAAAUGGCCCCUGUCUAGACAUCUCCACUGUCACUACCUUAGCUUCAGGCCCAUUGUCUUAGUCUGCUUUUUGCAGCUAUAAUAGAAUGCCUGAGACUGGGUAAGUUUUAAUAAAGAGGAAUUUAUUUGGCUCAUGG